UCUCAGUUCGGAUUGGAGUCUGCAACCCGACUCCAUGAAGCUGGAUUCGCUAGUAAUCGCGCAUCAGCCACGGCGCGGUGAAUACGUUCCCGGGCCUUGUACACACCGCCCGUCAAGCCAUGGAAGCCGGGAGUGCCUGAAGUGCGCUGCCGCGAGGAGCGCCCUAGGGUAAAACCGGUGACUGGGGCUAAGUCGUAACAAGGUAAC
rnacentral:rRNA from 1 species